rnacentral:rRNA from 1 species
UACGAAGGCAGCAGUGGGGAAUAUUGCACAAUGGGCGAAAGCCUGAUGCAGCUAUGCCGCGUGUAUGAAGAAGGCCUUAGGGUUGUAAAGUACUUUCAGCAGGGAGGAAAGAAAUAAAACUAAUAAUUUUAUUUUGUGACGUUACCUGAAGAAGAAGCACCGGCUAACUCCGUGCCAGCAGCCGCGGUAAUACGGAGGGUGCAAGCGUUAAUCAGAAUUACUGGGCGUAAAGAGCGCGUAGGUGGUUUUUUUAAAGUCAGAUGUGAAAUCCCUAGGCUUAACCUGGAACUGCAUUUUGAAACUGAAAACUAGAGUAUCGUAGAGGGAGGUAGAAUUCUAGGUGUAGCGGUGAAAUGCGUAGAUAUCUGGAGGAAUACCUGUGGCGAAAGCGGCCUCCUAAACGAAUACUGACACUGAGGUGCGAAAGCGUGGGGAGCAAACAGGGAUUAGAUACCCGU